CAGCUGAAUUCAGCAUUUGGACCCGGGAGGCUGGGGCCGGGGGUCUCUCCAUUGCGGUGGAGGGCCCCAGCAAGGCCGAGAUUGCUUUUGAGGACCGGAAAGACGGUUCCUGCGGAGUCUCGUACGUGGUCCAAGAACCAGGCGACUACGAGGUCUCCAUCAAAUUCAACGAUGAACACAUCCCGGACAGUCCCUUUGUGGUCCCCGUGGCCUCGCUCUCGGACGAUGCCCGGCGCCUGACCGUCACCAGCCUCCAGGAAACGGGUCUGAAGGUGAACCAGCCGGCUUCGUUCGCGGUGCAGCUUAAUGGGGCUCGUGGCGUGAUUGAUGCCAAAGUCCACACGCCCUCCGGCCUGGUGGAAGAAUGCUACGUCUCUGAGUUGGACAG